rnacentral:lncRNA from 1 species
UUUAUUUCAAUAAAUAAAUUAAUUAAAAUAUUUAUUUAAUUCAAUAAAUAUUUAAAUUUAAUUAUAAAAUUUCUCGAUCGUUACACCAAGUCUCGAAACUAUUACUAAUACACUUCAUAACGUAAUCCAAAACACAGCUUAAAUCAUAACAUUAAUUAAGUCUUAAUAAAUAACCACACUUAGGUCUUAUUACAUAACCAACAUUAAGUUUUAAUACAUAGUCAUAAGAUUCAAAUUAUAACAUAGAAGGACAAAGCUACUCCAUAGCCUUGCCUUUGCCCUUAUCCUGGUUUGAAGUUCCGCAUCAUUCUGUCUUACUGAAAUGUUUAAAGGAAGCAAGAAUAAGUAACAAAUUUGCCUAGCGAGUAAUAUAACAAUAAAUGUGAAUAAGUGAAUAUCAAUGGUUCCAAAUCUAUACUUUGAAGUUAAUAACAAGCCACUAUGGAUUGAAAGAUUUCGAAAGCAUUCGAAGGUUUCAACAAUUUCAAGUGAAUGAAUAGAUGUCACUGAAUGUUGCUAUGGACCAAGAAUUAUUAAAAGAAUGCUGAGAUUUCAGCAAUUUCCAAGUUAAUAAAUAUUGAAUAGUGAGUAGUCGCUAUAGACCGUGAACUUCAGCUAUAAUUAACAAUAUUACACUGAUAAUCCAAUAUAAGCAAGUACAAUAGGUGAUCAGCCUACCGUACCUGGUGUUAUGCAUAACGUACCCUGCUGUUUGCGUGAAUCUCGGUUCCCCGACGUUGUAUAGUUUCCCCUUCUAUGAGGGUUGUUCAUCUUAGUAGAUUAUAAAAGUCUGCACCAAGGCAAUUUAUUUGAAUCGCUUUCUAAUUCAUAGAUAUUGGUCUAGCUGAAACAAAUGACAUAUACGAUUUUCUUAACACACUUAGGAAUAAUACGUUCAACGUUCGCAAUAAAAUUCAAAGAAUCAUUUUCAAAGAUGUAAGUAUGAUUUAAAUCAAGUUUCAGAGUAUGGAUAAUAAUUUUCAUGAAUUUAGAUAACACAAGAAUUAUUCUAUAGAACAAUUUGCUUAUACAAUCAAUAAGUGUACAAGUUCAUAUAUUUGCUCAAUAUAUAUGGUUGAUAUAACAACAAUUAGAACCUUGCACAAUAUCCAAGAUUGUGUAAGUUAGGGAACUUGCAUUUAAUAUGAAAAUCAAAUGAAGUUAGGAAACUUGCUCAAUAUGGGUGUAGUUAAUAUAAUCAAUAAUUAAGAAACUUGCACAAUAUACGAAGUUAUGUAAGUUAAGGAACUUGCGUAGUCAUAGAUUUCUUGCAUUAAGUAAAUGAAUAGGUUAAGAUACUGGAACAAUAGAAACAUUUANNNNNNNNNNNNNNNNNNNNNNNNNNNNNNNNNNNNNNNNNNNNNNNNNNNNNNNNNNNNNNNNNNNNNNNNNNNNNNNNNNNNNNNNNNNNNNNNNNNNAUAUUGGUCUAGCCGAAUCAAAUGGCAUAGAAUCUCUUUUCAACACACUUAGGAAUAAUUAAUACGUUUAACGUUUGCAACAAGAUUCAAAUAAUCAAUUUCAAAAAUGUAAGUAUAAUUUAAAUCAAGCUUCAGAGUACGAAUAAUAAUUUUCAUGAAUUUAGAUAACACAAACUAUUUCAUAGAAAAAUUUGCUUAUACGAUCAAUAAAUGUACAAGCCCAGACAUUUGCUCAAUAUAUGGUUGAUAUAACGACAAUUUGAAACUUGCACAAUAUUCAAGGUUGUGAAAAAUUUAGGGAACUUGCAUUCAAUAUGAAAAUCGAAUGAAGUUAGGAAACUUGCUCAAUAUGGUGUAGUUAAUAUAACAAUAAUUAAGAAACUUUCACAAUAUAUGAAGUUGUUUAAGUUAGAGAACUUGCACUAUAUAUAGCAGUUAGUAUAACAAUAAUUCAUUUACUCAAAGUGAGAGAACUUGCACAAUGCACAAAGUAGUGUAAGUUAUAAAACUUGCACCAUAUAUAGCAAUUGGUAUAACAAUAAUUUGUUUACUCAAAGUGAGGGAACUUGCACAAUGCACAAAGUUGUGUAAGUUAGAAAACUUGCACCAUAUAUAGCAAUUGGUAUAACAAUAAUUCAUUUAAUCAAAGUGAGGGAACUUACACAAUGUAGAAAGUUGUGUAAGUUAGAGAACUUGCCUUUCGCGUAGAUUACCAAUUUAUAGCUUAACGUCACUUCAACGUUCUACAUUAUUUUAGUUACGCAUAUAUACUCAUUCAUUAGUUAUACAAACUCGAUAUGUAAACCAAUCAUCCCACACACAUAUAAUACUCAUGUUCAAUCACAUAUGCUAAGCACAUAUAUUUAGUCAUAUAUUUAGUGUACUAUUAAAACCAUGUAGUUGCAUUUUACUCUUGCUUUUGUCUUUAAAAGUUUUAUCUAGAAACUUUGUAGAACUUGUUAAAUCUUGAUUCUAUAUUGACAUUACAUGAUUGAAUACUUAAAAUACCACUUCAAACAUGUAUUACAUCUUACGAAAGUAUUAUACGCAUGCUUCAAGUCUUAGAUCAUAGUUAAAACAAUCAGACAACACUGGCAUGCGGCGCGGCCGCGCUGCAUUAUAACCUGAGAGUGGCGCAGUUGCGCUGCUCCCUGGUCAGACCAGAGUUGAGUUUUAGUUUUCAAAAUCACAACUUACUUUCUAGCACACCGUGACACUGAUACAUACAAUAUUCACAUGUUAAAAGGUCUUGAACUAGGUUUGAUGUCUCUUAUGUUCAAUUUAAGUUUAUUUUCUCAUGUUAUGGUUUUCACUUUGAAAUUUCCCUCUAACAAGGCUAAUUGGGUUCAUGUAACAAAGGACUAACUAUGAUAACCAUUAAACCACAUAACGAGGCUAAUAAACCUUUAACACACAUGCUCAAAAUCAUUCAACUCGUGUAUUCAAAGUUAACAUAGCUUUAUUCUUGAAAGUUAUUGUAAAUCAUGCUUGAGUAGUUCAUAUCGUGCCUAACUAGAUGGGUGCACAUAUUAAUCGUGUUUAGAGGCAUAAAGUGUCCUAUCAUAUUAUCUCAUAAAGUCAGAACAUAAUUAACACAAUGCUUAUCGAUAUUAGUUUUCAAAACUUCCAAGUUUUCUUUAAAAAACAUUCUAAACAACAUAUUAUAUAAAAAGCAAUUUGAAACCACAUUUCAUACCCAUUUGUACACAUAACUAAACCAUACACAUAUGCUAAAAAGGUCAUAACUCAAAGGACAAGAGGCUCAUCAAGGUUUGUUUUUAAAGCUUCUGUGUUUUCCUUGAAAAAUCGAUACUAAACCAUGCUAAAGUAAUAUAUUACAUGCACGAUAACUUGAAUCAUCAUAUCAGACUUAUUUAUGAAUCUAACUAGGUUAUACUCAUAUGCUCAGAACAUCAGAAGCAACAAAAAUUCAUUUUCAAGGGCUGGCAGCCGGCGCGACCGCGUUGGUUUGUACUAGGGAAGUGGCGCGGCCGCCUCACUUCGGGACAGGUCCAGACUGCGCUCUUUUUCUGCAAAAUCCCAUAACAUAAACCAAUUAGGCCUUCUAAUUUGUAACUCAGACAGCCAUAUUGCUUCUUAAACAUACAUAAGAACUCAGAUAACAUGUUGACAUCAAUUCCUUAAUCAAUUAACAAGUAAUUCAUGAAAUUUUUAGGAAUUUAUCAAACUCACAAAAUUAUACAUUCUUUCAUUAUGACCACAUAAUCAUUAUGCUUUCACCAUUCUAUACUUGAUUUAUGCUUACAGAAAUGUAGAGUAAUUAGAAUUAAGUACCUUAGAUGAUUUUCCUUAAUUAAUAGUAUGUUUCUUCUUCUUAUUGCCUUACCAAAAGCAAGAGUUGCUCUUGAAAUUCUCCUUAUCUCUCAACUCACACUAAAUCUCUCUAUAUCUCAGCAAAAUGUAGCAGCCUUGAAUCAUGAAGGGGGACUCCUACUUAUAGAAAAAUCAUUACUCAACAAUCUAGUUAUUAACCAAAGGAAAAAAGGGAAAUUGGUGUAAAGCUUCACCAAAUCUCCACCUUUAUGAUGAUUAGCCCACAUGGGAUUUCUUGCAAACAAUUUUAGGGAAGAAUUUCCAGCAUUUUGUUCAUAAGGAAGAGCUUGGUAAAGUAGGGAGAUAGGCCAUUGGCCUAUACACGACUGAAGCAAAUUUUGGGACUAUGAUUAUGGGACAAGAGCUUUAACUUACUGCAUUAGCAAAAUGGAUACUAGCAUUUUUAAUGUGGGUUUCUAUUUGGCUCACAAGGUCAAAUUUAAUGACUUAACAUUAUUACCUUAUGUUAAGUUAUGGGCACAUAUACACAUAUAUACAUCUAUACCAAUAUACACCCACAUCAAUGUAAGUAUACUUAUUUUUUUAAAUAUACACCAAUACAUAUAAUCAUAUAAUCUAUGUACAUUGGGUUAGUCCAAAUAAUAUUUGAAUUGGGCUAAAUGGACUUACUUAUACACAUUGGCUUUAAUUAUUAAUCCAACACAUCAUGCCUUAAUUGUUGUCACAAUAUUAUCCUCCCAACAUGCUUAUUUUUCUAAUUACACAUAACUAUAAAAAUUAAUAAUUAAUAUCAAACAUUUAUUUUCUCAGAAUUUAUUCUCUUCCAUAAUUUUAAAAUACAAAUUUAUUGAUUCACCAUAAAUCAUUAUGUAACACAAGGCUCAAUUAUUCAAGCUUAAGCUUCUUAUCAUAAUAUAAUCUUACUUGGUGAUUAUUCAUAUAUUAUAAUCUUACUCUUAAUAUCCCUUCUUAUAUUACAUGUAGGAGGCAAUUUAUUGCAUUAACUAUUUAUAUGAUCACACAACACAUAAUUUUCACAUAACAAAUAAAUAAUUAAAAAUAAAACAAUAAUUAAUCUAUCACAUUAUUUAAUCAUUUUGUCAUUAAUUAAAUUAACAAAUUACUUAGUCCACAUUUAUGCCAUACUUGACACACCACAUAAGCUUAAAUAAGCUCAUUAUCGUUUCCACCACAUUUCUAAAUUAUCACAUACUUCAUUCAAUUUAAUUUGAAUACCACAUUUCAAGACACGCAUAAAUAUAUAUGUAUUCAACAUAAAUAUUCAAAUAUUUUUAUUUUCAUUACUAAUAUUAUUAUUAAAAAAUUCACGGGUAUUACAUAGCACGCGCCAGGCGUCUGACAAGUCGAGCACGUUUUCCAAAAAGACGCAUUUUUGACCAGAUUGUUUUCUUUAAAUAGAUUUCUUUCCAUAUUUUUAGGGAUUCUUUGUAUCUUUUAUAUUUCUAAUGUAAUUAGGAUUCUAUUAGAUAGGGUAUGGUUACUAAAUUAAGGUAUUGAUUCUUUAUAGGAUUCUAGGGUUUCAAGUUAUGAUUAUUUAAAAGGCCUAUUGAUGUAAUUGACAUUAUUCAUUCAAUAUUAUUCAGAUGUAUUCUAUUUUUGAGAUUAUUCUUUACUUUUGGUUCUUUGAAGAAUUUCAAAGUAAUUUCUUAGUUUAUUCUUUGAUAUUCAAUUUGACUUAUCAUACAAAAAUACAUAGUUGUAUGUGGUGUCUUCUACCGCAUCAAUCGUCGAUUGUGUCGAGGUUCAUAUUUCAAUAUAAACACGGGAUUUAGGUGUCGUUGGUGUUCCAUUUAACACUGAUUUCAUUGCUUGAUCGAUUACACCAAGGUUUUCGUCUCAAUAUAGACAUUGGGUUGAAGUGUUGAGAGAGUACCACUUUAUCAUUUGUGAUAGAAACGAUUCGGGCGACGACCAUCUAACGCAAAUGUGUCAUGGAGUCUAUCAGAUGGGCCCCGUGGGUCCCGUCAUCUCAAAGUUUAUUCCUCCGAUCUCGAUCCGGUGAAAGUUGAGCUUCGUACCCAAAAAUUCCAAAAAGCUUGUGCCGAAGGCUACUAAAUAAGGUUGAGUCUGACUGAAUCGGAGUCCGGUAAGAUGGCGUAAUUAGCUGAAAGGUAUCUUCCAAUUCUCGAGGGUUGUCAAUCGGCUCGACUUGACCAGCUUGCAGCUCAAUGAUUAUUGUGGUGACUUUCUUGUGGUCAUGUCUUCAGCUUGUCGAUCCUCGUUCGGACCAUGUCUUGUCUGGGCAUCGUUGCACUUCAAUUUUUCCACGGGGUUGUCUCUGGGGUGAAAUUAUGUCUCUUCCCUCCCUCGAGGUUGUCUCUGAAGUAAAAUUACAUUUUUACCCUUUUGCAAGGUUAGUCCAAGAAAAGAGAAAUUUCGAGUGUCUACAAAGGAUGACCUGACAUAUCUACUGUAGGAUCAUGGGUAUGACAUACAUUUAUAAUUUGAAGCACCCAAGGUUGCCCAACCCUUUUCCUUCCGCAAACUUUAAAAAGACAAUCUAUUGGAUGGCAUGAUACCUUUCUUUUAUGACUUUCUAUCAGAAUAUUUUGUUUAUCCCGAUAAGUACCUCCUCUAUCACAACCAAUAAUCACAAGAUGAUCUUUAACAAAAAAAAAUUAUCGAUGUUGUGUAACCUUGCAUUAAGACAUGUUUGAAUCAUUCCAAUUAAAUCUUCACGUGUUUGAAAUUUGAUCUCUGGAAGUUGUAACGCUCCAUCUAGCUUAUCAAUUUUAUCUUCACACUCCAUAUUUGCACUAGGUAAGUAAUCAUCAUUGGCUAAACAGUUUUCUGAUUUUUUGUUUGCUCCAUAACUCUCCAUGUUUAUAGUUCAAAUCCUACUAAAAUCGGAAUUUAUAAUUAUCAAAUAGGAUGAAAAAGGAGCUCUCCUAAACAACAUUAUGUUUAGAUGAAUUCUUACAAAGAAUAAAAAAUGAUUUAGACAAACUCAAUGCAUAAGAAGCAAAUCAUAUAAUAAAAAUGAUUCAGGCAAACUAAUUGAACUAAAUACAUAAGAAGUAAAUCAUAUAAUAAAAAUGAUUCAGACAAAUUAAUUAAACUAAAUACAUAAGAAGUAAAUUAUCAAUAUGAAUUUUAAUAAGCUUACAUCCCUCAUAUUAUCAAAAAAAAAAAGUUAGGGUUUAUAGUAAAAAAGGAUUGUUCAGGGAGAAAUACUUUAUCUAUUUUAAACUAAAAUAUUACCUCAAUUAUAAAUAAUAAUAAAAAACACAAAAAUCCAUGAAUAAAGUUCAAAAAUUAAAGAGCUAAAUAUGGGAUAUAUGUGAAUUUUUUACCUCAAACUGAACCAAAUUAAAGAAGAGAAAAGAGUUUGAUUUUCAAAUCAAGAUCAUCGAACGAAAAGCUUAGAUCUGUUACAAUACAAAGGCACAUAAAACUCUGUUUGGAAGAGAGAGAUAGAGAGACAAAAAGUUAACGAACAGAGGGAGAAUUAGUUUAGAAACCUGUCACGAACUAGCAAUCUCCUUCUCAUAGUGGAAAAUCAUCCGAUGUUGGGCUAUAGAUUCAUUUCUUCUGUAAAUUCAAUCUCAGCAAAACAGAGAACAAAGGAAAUCUCAUCUCACCUAACUCUUUUGUACACCAAUUAGACCCAAACAUCGAAAUGUUAGGUGAGGACAAUUUGGUAAAACGAAUUUUGUAUUAUUGUUAACUUAUUACAGUUGUCUCAACCAUA